rnacentral:lncRNA from 1 species
CUGGGUGCUCGCGUCCUCCCCGCGCGGCGGACAGCCCGGGCGCCCUUCCUCUCUGCGGGACUGCAGGUCUAUCCGCUAAGCGCGCGUGACCAAAAACGGCUCUCAGCGGGUCCCAGCUGACGGAAGCUGACAAGUUUAUUUAAUCCCUGAACCUGGAUCCAAGGCAUCUCCCUGUAGAAAACAUCAGACCGGGGCAGAGAUUGACAAAGCAACCCAAAGCAGCAGCUGCCAACGGCCGCUGUGCCCACCUCAUCAGCAGCUAAAGAGUAUAAUUUUAAAAAAAGUCACAGAAGAAUGUGGAGACACUUAGCAAAACGGACUCUCAUAAGAGUGUUCGAUGGUGCUGCUACUAAUGAAAGAUUUGAGGAAACUCCUAAGGUCCCUCCAGUGUACAACAAUUUGGUUCCCUAUUUUGUCAGUAAGGAAGUAAACAACCGCUAAAACAACCCUCUAACAACAGAAGACCCUCAUGAGAACACCAGGCAGCAGAAGCUUCUUUAGCAGUAAAAGAUAUCUGGAUAUUCAUAUUUUGUUCCAUGAUCUUCAACAUUAAAUAAAUAAACUUAAUAUUCAAGUCUCCUUCUGCAUUCCUAGAAGAGGAUGUUAUU